CCUACGGGGGGCAGCAGUGGGGAAUAUUGGACAAUAGGGGGAACCCUGAUCCAGCCAUGCCGCGUGUGUGAAGAAGGCCCUCGGGUUGUAAAGCACUUUCAGUGAGGAAGAACGCCUGGUGGUUAAUACCCAUCAGGAAAGACAUCACUCACAGAAGAAGCACCGGCUAACUCCGUGCCAGCAGCCGCGGUAAUACGGAGGGUGCGAGCGUUAAUCGGAAUUACUGGGCGUAAAGCGCGCGUAGGUGGCUUGAUAAGCCGGUUGUGAAAGCCCCGGGCUCAACCUGGGAACGGCAUCCGGAACUGUCAAGCUAGAGUGCAGGAGAGGAAGGUAGAAUUCCCGGUGUAGCGGUGAAAUGCGUAGAGAUCGGGAGGAAUACCAGUGGCGAAGGCGGCCUUCUGGACUGACACUGACACUGAGGUGCGAAAGCGUGGGUAGCAAACAGGAUUAGAUACCCUGGUAGUC
rnacentral:rRNA from 1 species